UACGUAGGGUGCGAGCGUUAAUCGGAAUUACUGGGCGUAAAGCGUGCGCAGGCGGUUUAUUAAGACAGAUGUGAAAUCCCCGGGCUUAACCUGGGAACUGCAUUUGUGACUGGUAGGCUAGAGUGUAGCAGAGGGGGGUAGAAUUCCACGUGUAGCAGUGAAAUGCGUAGAGAUGUGGAGGAAUACCGAUGGCGAAGGCAGCCCCCUGGGUUAACACUGACGCUCAUGCACGAAAGCGUGGGGAG
rnacentral:rRNA from 1 species